rnacentral:rRNA from 1 species
UCUGGUGACAAUGGCAAGGAGGUCACACUUGUUCCCAUGCCGAACACAGAAGUUAAGCUCCUUAGCGCCGAUGGUAGUCGGACUAACGUUCCGCUAGAGUAGGACGUUGCCAGGC